rnacentral:sRNA from 1 species
AUUAAUAUGUGAAAUAAUUUUAGAGACUUUAUUAAAUACACACAGUCCUCUUUAUGGUAGAGGAACAGUUCAGCUUGAGCUGGUGACCGGCUGAACUAGAGGGGUUACUCUGGGAAAGUGGCGAGUCGGCAGGGCAUGUCUGCACAGAUUUUGUGCCAGGUUUCCUGCCUGCACAGCGCUUUCUUCUCUGUCCAAGUUCUGUGCUGACCACAGCUGUCCACAGGCAUGUUUACACUCCCUGUUCUUGCAGGUUGACUUGAGAGAACCACGUAGCUAAAUUGGUGAGAGACUCAGCCUGACCGCUUGUCUUUAGAAGGCCUGAUUGGAAGAGUGCACUCUAUUGACUUUCCUCUAACAAUGAAAUUGUGAAAGAGGUCCUGUAAUAAAGAGGGAUCCGAACAAGCUCAGAAAGAAAAUGAAUUUCAAGGGGCCGAGGCCAUGGUUCUGGAGAGCGUUAUGUUUGCCAUUCUCGCAGAGAGGUCACUUGGGCCAAAACUCUAUGGCAUCUUUCCCCAAGGCCGACUGGAGCAGUUCAUCCCGAGCCGGCGAUUAGAUACUGAAGAAUUAAGUUUGCCAGAUAUU